GAUGACGCGUCCCAGCCUCGCAGCCGGGCUGGAGAGCGCGCGGAGCAGGCCCUGGCUCUCCAGGACCUCUCUCCGACCGUCCCGGGGCCAGUGCGUGGAGGAGAGGGGGACCCGCGCGGGCCUGGUGGCCCCCUGGGCGCCCGCGAUGCCGGCAGCGCAGUGGGCCGCUUCUGCUGGAGCCUUCGAGCUUUGGGGUAGAAUUCCUAGAUCUUCUGCCCGCCGCCUGCUCGCGGGCACUAGCGUUGGAUUCCGUUCUGUUGCACGCACAUGCGAGCAGAGCCUUUAUAAAAAGCUUCAAAAAGGCUGUGCCAAAUCGCUUUCAAAGGCCUCCUGCUGGAGAGGGGAGAGAUUAAGGGCCGGAGCUCUGUAGGAAACAUGUGUGCACCCCCACAUCUGCACAGAGCACCAGGGCAGUGCCCGUGAAACCACUGGUGAACCAGCAAACCGGCGCAUGCAUGGGUGGACGCCUGCAGGUGCACGGGGAGCUAGAACUGUGCCAGUGCUGGUGAGGAGGUGGGCUGUGUCGAGGAGCAGACUUUGCUGCAAUGCACAGGGGCAGAGAAAUCCAACUGGGAGCCUGCAGGGAAACGCCUGGGCGGGAGGAAGAGGCUUGAGGUGCAAAACCAACCCUGACCCUGCCUGAGGCUUGGAAGGGCUCCCACGCUGAUGGGUGUGUUCGCUCCCAAACUCUGCUGCCCUGUGAUGCCGUCAUGGAUGGGGUGAUGGGGAGAGAGGGCGCCUACCCGGGAAGCUCACUUCACAGCAGAUCCCCCAAGACAGGUCUGCUAUGGUUUCUUGUGUGAAGUCUUCCCAGUCUGUCACGGAGAGCUCCGAACCCUGAACUGUCACACGCACUCGGCUUUUUUACGUGAGUUACGGCACCUGCCACACUUCCGCCGUGGAGUACUCUCUGGAUCUUAGGACUGCACUGGACAGUGAUGUCAUGUUUCUGCUUUGCCUCACAGGGCCUUGAGUGUAACAAGCACGCAGUCAACAAUGAAUGCUAUACCUCCUCUGAGCUGUGCCUCUGAGCCACGGCCCUGACUGUCUCAAGGUCAUUGACAGCCGUCAAGGCUGGUGUCCAGUCCAGGCCCCUGCACGUGUGACUUGUCCACACCUCCCCCUUUGCAAACAUGCCCACGGUUGCCACUGGGGCAUCAGCAGUGUGACUCAUGAUUGGAUCACUGAGCGUCUCCUCGAUGACUUGCUCUGAGUGUCAUCACGUGUGGGCCGGAAGGCAGGACAGAGGACCAAUGCUGCCAUCAGCUGCUCAGGGGCUGGGAAAAUGGAAACCCGUUCUCGAGUUUCUCUUCUGGGUGCAAAAUCAAGGAAGCUCAACACGCACACCCAUGGACUUCUCCGGGCUUCGGCCUCAGGCCCAAUGACACCGGCGGCUCUGCAGCCCAGACACAGAAGAUCACAGGAUUUCCUGGUCUCCAGAUGACCGUGAGUCAAUUCCUGUAAUAACUGCCCUCUUACAUAUGGGGCUGUGUUGUAGAGUGAGUCUAUCCAUUGAUAAGUAGGUAGGUAGGUAGAAGAUAGAUAGAUAGAUAUUCCAGUUCCCUGGAGAAUCCUGAAGAAGACACCUUCAGAAAUAUGAAACAACGGGCUGGUGCCUAGGCUCAAUAGGCUAAUCCUCCGCCUGCGGUGCCGGCACACCGGGUUCUAGUCCCGGUCAGGGUGCCGGAUUCUGUCCCGGUUGCCCCUCUUCUAGGCCAGCUCUCUGCUGUGGCCCAGGAGUGUAGUGGAGGAUGGCCCAAGUGCUUGGGCCCUGCACCUGCAUGGGAGACCAGGAUAAGCACCUGGCUCCUGUCUUCGGAUUGGCGUGGUGCACCGGCCACAGCGCACCGGCCAUGGCGGCCAUUGGAGGGUGAACCAACGGUAAAAGGAAGACCUUUUUCUCUGUCUCUCUCUCUCACUGUCCACUCUGCCUGUCAAAAAAAAAAAAAAAGAAAUAUGAAACAAUGUACAUGUUAUUCACACCCCUGAGCUGAUGGUACCUCAUUCCCUGGUAAACUGCCGUGAGCCCCCAGACGGUACCUACGCGUGACUGUGAUUAGAGAAGAAGUGUCAUAAUGAAAGUGCCAAAACAAGGCGCCAAGAUAACCAGCAAUAAAUGAGAAUGGUUAAUAUGUCGACCAAAGAGUGGGCUUGUGAUCCGUCUUGUUCACCACCACUGCCAGCGCUGGCUGAAGUGUUCUGGGCAUUUCACAAAUAUUACUGGAGGAAAUAAACGUGGAGCUGUCUGAAUGGCUCAAACGCGAGAGCCGUAGGCUGUAAACAGACAUUCUGGAACUGAAAAGACCGGAGAGGAAUUGUGCCUAAUGUUUCCAUUCAACAUAUGGAGAGCCUGCAGUUUAGAGAGACCUGUGCCAGUUCCCAGAUGACUGCCGGCUGGCGGCAUCCGUGGUGCUGUGGCUCACGAUUCGCAGCUGACUCAGCAGGCUUUUCACUCUUUAUUACCACGCUGCCUUUCUGUACUAAUACGAUAGGAUCCGGGUGGCUGGAUGACGUAGCUGAAGACCUCUUCAGUGCGGAAGCAGUGACUGUGUUGCAUUCAGCAAAGGUGGAUUUUCCUAUGUGAAGACCCAGCUCUCCAUAAAUACUGCCAGGCUUCUUCCAGUCAGGCCAGCAUAGUGACGCACUGUGUUUGAGAGGCUGUGGGCAGGGUCUCAUGUCAGGGUCUCCCUCACUGACCUUCAAGGCCCUCUCCUCACCUGUUCCCAUCACAGUGGCCUUGCAGCCACGUCUUGAGUUGGUGGAACCACCAGAGAAAACCAGCCUGGACCUGCAAGCUGCCCUGCAGUAGGACAAAUGCCAGUGGCACAUAGACUUGCGCCGUUGGUUGGGCUACCUACCCGCCUGCCUGAGCUGCCAGCCCCUGUCACUCUUCCAUUGUGAAACCACAUGACACUUUAGGAUCUGCUGGCAAUGGCGGCAUAGUGUAGGCUGACACACACAUCGACCGUAAACUGGUUUUGGUAUGGCAGUAACUCCUGUGCACUUGUGCCUUGACAGACAGCCCAAGUGCUGGACGAGGUGAGGAGGGGAAGGUGUGCUGUCUAGGACUUGAGGGCAUGUUUGAGGCAGGGAGCCACGAGCCAGGAAGGGAUGGCAACCUGGAAGGAGCAAGGCACCACACGGGCAUACUGUGUUCCCGUCAGUAACUCAGAUCCUGGAGCUCAUUCCGAGUGGAUGCUGCCAUGUGCCCUGCUGUUUUAGGGACUUGAGAGGGUCACAGGAAAACAAGACGUCGUUCUCCAGCCACCAGCUGACCAGGCUUGGUGAGCUGUGCACAGGUGCAAUGGAUGUUUUCAUAGGUCAUGCAGACUCCUCUGCACAGGGCACCAAGGCACUGCUGGGAGUGGUGCAUGCUGAAGGCCCCCCACCCCAUGGAGGAGGCCUCCUCAGCCAAAGGCAGCUGCCUCACCCAGGCUGCUUCCAGGAACCGGCCCCUGCAGGGUCGGCACCUGCUCCAUGUGCCCUGCCUAGGGACAAGGCCCCAGGGCUCUCCACCCCCACCCCCAGCUCUGUUGCAGUGUGCCCAGUCCUCUGCUUGCCUUGCCUUCCUGGGGCGCUGCUCCUGAGAGCCCGUCACGACAGCCGAUCUCCAGGGCAGGCUUUGAUCCCCUGGGAGCCCAACACACACACACACACACACACACACACAUACCUUUUCUACCGGUUGACAGCCUGGACAUUUCUCUUAAUUUCAAACUUCAGAUCAGAUCAGCAUCACACGUUCAGUGACAUGUCCGUGACUCCUCUUGGUUUCCCACUCGCCUGCCUGAGCUGCCAGCCCCCGUCACUCUUCCAUUGUGAAAUCGCAUGUGUACCUCGGGCUUUGAACUCAGCAGAUGGAAGAUCUCCUUCUCUCUGCCUCUCUGUCUCUGUCUCUCCCUACCUCUGUAAACAAAUAAAUAAAUAGAUAGAUUUAUAAAUAAAUAAGUUAUUGAUUUAUCAAAUAAGUCUUUUUUAAAACAAUACCCAGAAAUGCAGGAAUGACAUUAUCCUGGGCAGCUAGGAGAGGAGAGGGAAGCGGAGUGUGACGGCAGAAGCAGGGUGUGCUCACCACGACCUGGCGAGCCUCUGUGUCCUGAGUGGGACUUCACCACCACCACUGAACGUCACCGUCCUGCGAGUGGUGUCAGAGUCAGGCUGGACCCAACACCUGCCGGCUCCCUUGUGGUCAGCUGGCUGGACUCCCUCAGCUGCAGGUUCCUUAGCAAUCAAAUCGGGGAUCCUAAUACCUCUUUUGUAUGGCUUUUGAGAAACGUAAGAAAAACAAUCCAAAUCCGUGCAAAGUACUUAACAGAAUGCUUACCACCUUCUACAGGACUCAAAAAUUAUUCUAAAAUCUAUUCUCAGCCCUUCAGGGUUGUGGGAAGCAGUGGCUCCUUCCCUGUGGGUGAGGAGCUCCCAGAGGUUGGGGGCGGCACCUGCAUGGAGGAUGCAGAUCUUGGUCAUCGUGAUGGACUGGGGUUGUGAAGUCCAGUGGUCCAAGCCCUACUGGAGUCACAUGGCUGUCACCAACCUUAGUAAUAGCGUGCUGACUGGAGGGAGCAUUCUGGCCAGGGCAGGCCAGCCUGCCACAGGGACAGGUGACCUCCAGACGUGGAGGGCCUCAGAUGCAAAGGUGGCUAGGGCAAGGUUUGCACAGGACCCUCCCCGUCCCCGUGUGUACCCAUGAGCAAGGUCGCCGCUGCCUCCAGGCUCUGCCAGCUCCCUGUGAGGCGUCCUUUGUCAUCACCUGAGAGCGGAGAGCGAGCGCUGUGGACUGGGGCUGGCAGCUGAACACAUCACGUGGCCGUGAUGCAGCACCGGCCACACUCGGGGCCUCACUUCGCCAAAAGUGGGUGAGAAAGUGACGUUUUCUCACAUAACCUGAAUGAGGAAAGAGCUGGGGACAGGAGCCUGCUCUGGGUCCUUGUGAUAGGGAAUGGACAGAUUUCCCUAAAUGAGCAAUUGAUCUAAUUGAUGAAGGUGUUAGUUCUCAAUGAGUAGCCAAUGUCCGGCACGUUGCUGGAUACAAGACUGCGGGUACACAGGUUGAUGGACAGGUGCUAGGGUAUAGCUUAGACAGGAGCAAGAAGCUCCGGGGUUCCAUUGCACAGCGGAGUGUCACUCCCCCUCUUCACGGAGGAACGACACAGGACCCUGCCUAGGCUUCAUAUCCGAGUCACGGCACCAUUAUGUCGCUCCCCCUCUUCACGGAGGAACGACACAGGACCUUGCGCUGUUCUUUCGUCUGCUCGGCCCUUCCCGGGUUUGCUGCUGGUUCUUCCCAGGUUGGCUACUAUCCCUUCCACCUCCAUGGAAGGGCAGUUCCCCCUGGCCACAUUCCCCACUUCCGCAGGGGAGCGGCACACCACCGGCCGGCUCUCUGGGGGCUGCACAGGUGUUCCCCUUAGAUGUUCCCCUUAGAUGUUCCUGGUGCAUGCCGUCUCUCUCCUCCUUUAUAGUCCUCCUCUGCCAAUCCCAACUCGGCUGCCCACACGCCGAGUACGCUGCUCUCCUCCAAUCAGGAGCAGGUCCUGCAGCUUGUCAAGUUGGUGAGAGGCAGCUGGGUAGAAGCUGUUGCCUCCUCUCCCAGCGCCAUAUUGUGGGAGAGCAGAUGCAUAGAAUAAGUCUUAAUUCCAGUAACUUAGUCUAGUCCGAGUUGCUCCCCACAGCGGAGUGACCAUAGAUAAUAGAAAUGACUGGCAUUUCUCUAUUUUAAAAAUCCUGGAAGAGAGGAUUCCUGAUGCUUGCACUACAAAGAAAUGCUAACCGCUUGAAAGGAUAAAUAUAUUGGACAUUUUUUUACAGGCAGAGUGGACAGUGAGAGAGAGAGAGAGAGAGAAAGAGAGAAAGGUCUUCCUUUUGCCGUUGGUUCACCCUCCAAUGGCCGCCGCAGCCGGUGCACUGCGGCCAGUACACCGCGCCUAUCCGAAGGCAGGAGCCAGGAGCCAGGUGCUUCUCCUAGUCUCCCAUGGGAUGCAGGGCCCAAGCAUUUGGGCCAUCCUCCACUGCACUCCCAGGCCACAGCAGAGAGCUGGCCUGGAAGAGGGGCAACCGGGACAGAAUCCGGUGCCCUGACGGGGACUAGAACCUGGUGUGCCGGUGCCGCAAGGCAGAGGAUUAGCCUAUUGAGCCACGGCACCAGCCCCGAUUGGACAUUUUACAUUGUAUACAUGUAAUGAGACAUCACAUAGUUCUCCAUAAAUAUGCACAUUUUUUAUAUGUCCAUUAAGUUAAUUUUAAAGACAAAAGGAUCCUGGUAUAGUCAUGGUGGCAUUAAACUUGAGUUUGAAAAGCGGUGCACUGUGGGACAACUCCGGCCUUCAGGACGACUUCUCUGGAGAGUGAGACUUCGUCAGACUUGAGUGCCCAUCAGUGCUUGCUGGCUCACCUCAGAUGCCCCACCCCGUUCUCCACGUCCGCCUGAACCACACACUUAAGUGUCUCUCUGGUUCGGAAGCCACUGGAGUUGGAGUUGUCCACCCUGGACUCGACCCAGUUGCUCUGAGAGUUUUCAGAAAGCUGCAGAUCUGAGCAUUGUGUUAAGAUCAUAUAAGAGUAUAUUCCUUAGACUCAGCACCGAGAGCCACUCUUGGCCGUGUUUUCCAUGAGGACAGUCUUGCUGCUUCUAUCACACGACACUUAUUUUAUCUAUUUGCUUAUGAAACUGUCUCCCCUAAACUUCGAGCGCCCUAGUAACCAAGCGAUGCCAGAUUUCCUUGUGUACCGUUAGCCCCUCCUGCAGCACCUGGGACCUGAGUGGUGGGGAGUGAGCGAUAGUGAACUCAUGACAAGCCUGGCCUCAUAUCCUGGACGUGUUUUGCCCCGAAGCCCAAAUGUCCUCUUGCGCUGCUCAGAGUUUUUCUCAGGCCCUGACACUGUGUCAGGAGGAUUUUGUAUCUUUCCAUCAUAAAUCACUUUGGAUUAGGAAGAACAGCUGUGGCUGUGAACUCACCGGAAUGGCUAGCAGUUAGCAGAUUCUGAUGGCCCCGGCUUACAAUGGAGCUGUACCGGAUGGCAGUAUCCUGCAUUGCAGAUGCAUUGAAUCUAACACCCUACCCCACACCCCAGAUCAACAGCACAGGGCUCACCACCAUGGGACUCUCUGGACUGCACAGCGCUUCCCUGGGAAAGACCCAAACUCAAAAUUGGAGAGAUGGUUUCUACUGAACGUGUGAGCUUUGUAAGAUAAAAAAAAAAAAUCUGAACUCGCACUGUCCUAAGUCAAGGACAUCUGCCCUGCUUCAGCCUCUUGUGCAGUCAACUGAGGCCCUCACAGCAAUCACUGGGGGAUUUGGCAAUGAAAGGUCGGGGGCCCUGGGAGCCAGAGCCGAGCCUUGGGCCACGCACCUGGAAACUGACAGCAGCUCCAACUCCAGCCUGCCGUCUCCAAAGCCGCUGGCCACCUCCCGGGUCACUUGGCCUCUCUGCUGUCCCAUGAGCUUAGCUCUAGUCCUCUGAAUAUGCAGAUCUCCCCCUGGCAGAAACCCUAACUCCUCUGCUCGGAUACUUCUCUGCUGGCCAGCUCUGCUCUGGGCACUCACGGGUUACGCACCAAACCGCUCCCGAAUUCAGUCUUCAGGCUGCCAGGAUGCUGCAGGCCAUCCCCGGUUAUGGCAGGAAAAUAGGUCCCAAAUGGCCUGCAGCUACCACCCCUUCCUUCCUCUCUGCUGGCCUGGCCUGCCCUGGACCCGCGGGACAGCAUGAUAGGAUUCAUGUUUGCUACCUCCAAAAACUCUUCAAAUUUUACAGGGAAGUAGGACAGAACCCACAUGUGUGACCACCAUGAAGGCAUCCAGGCUCUGUCAUGGCUGAUGUGGGCAAUCUUUAAAGCAAUGGAAACGUCCGUAUGUCACCAGGUGCAGGGGCCCAAGGACACAGGCCGUCUUCCACUGCUUUCCCAGGCCAUAGCAGAGAGCUGAAUGGGAAGAGGAGCGGCCGGGACUUGAAUCGACACCCACAUUGAAUCCAGCACUGCAGGCAGAGGCUUUGCUUGCUAUACCACAGCGCCCAGAAAUGCAACAAGGUACUUUCACGUGAACACAGAGCCUGCGAAACUUCAGCGGCGUUUCUUCUCAAGCUCUAUUGUCUGCACGGGAGCAGGCGGGAGCCGGUUCUCCUCUUGGGACCGCGACGCCGUCGGGGCUGUGGGGACGGCCAG